AUUGAACGCUGGCGGCAGGCCUAACACAUGCAAGUCGAGCGGAGCGGCGGACGGGUGAGUAAUGCCUAGGAAUCUGCCUGGUCGUGGGGGAUAACGUCCGGUAGCGGGCCCUAAUACCACAUACUUUCAGCUGAGCCUCGGUCGGAUUAGCUAGCUGGUGGGGUAAAGGCCUACCAAGGCGACGAUCCGUAACUGGUCUGAGAGGAUGAUCAGUCACACUGGAACUGAGACACGGUCCAGACUCCUACGGGAGGCAGCAGUGGGGAAUAUUGGACAAUGGGCGAAAGCCUGAUCCAGCCAUGCCGCGUGUGUGAAGAAGGUCUUCGGAUUGUAAAGCACUUUAAGUUGGGAGGCGUUACCUACAGAAUAAGCACCGGCUAACUUCGUGCCAGCAGCCGCGGUAAUUC
rnacentral:rRNA from 1 species